GCCAAAAUUAAAAACAUCAGGUUGUAAAGUACAGAGAUUAAUUUUUCAAAAUGUACUUAUACAUUAACGUAGAUUUAUUCAUUAGUUGCUGUGUAGUGUGUACUCGUUUUUACGUGAAAGUGUUUAUUAAUCUUUCAAACGACGAGUGGAAAAAUCCAACAAAACAUGAAGUCAGCACAAUUGACACUCAUUCAUAUUAUCGCAUUCGUCCUAUUGAUUGAACUAUUAACUGACAAUGUAGGCGGUGAUAAAUACAAAUGUCGUAGAGAAGAAAAAAAAUUUUCGGAUGAAUAUACUUGUUGGGAUAAUUGCCGGAAUUUCUGCAAAGGGAAUACUGGCCAUGUUGCUAAAUGUAACUUUUUUGCAUGCGUAUACGAUGGACUUUGUUUAUGUGAUGAAGAACGUUACAGAAAUAUAAGUUAUCCUGAGUAUUUGAAUAAGAAGAAGAAGAACCGUUGAAAAUGUUUUAUAAAUACAUUUAUGUAGAUCAAGAGAAAAGUU